rnacentral:siRNA from 1 species
AGAAAUGCAUGCGGCUUCACUACC